rnacentral:tRNA from 1 species
GUGCCUGUAGCCCAAUCCGGUAGAGUCCCUGCCUUCCAAGCAGGCUGUUGUGGGUUCAACUCCCAUCAGGCACU